GUAGGUGGCAAGCGUUGUCCGGAAUUAUUGGGCGUAAAGCGCGCGCAGGCGGUUCUUUAAGUCCGAUGUGAAAGCCCACGGGCUCAACCGUGGAGGGUCAUUGGAAACUGGAGAACUUGAGUACAGAAGAGGAAAGCGGAAUUCCACGUGUAGCGGUGAAAUGCGUAGAGAUGUGGAGGAACACCAGUAGCGAAGGCGGCUUUCUGGUCUGUAACUGACGCUGAGGCGCGAAAGCGUGGGGAGCAAACAGGAUUAGAUACCCUGGUAGUCCACGCCGUAAACGAUGAGUGCUAAGUGUUAGGGGGUUUCCGCCCCUUAGUGCUGCAGCUAACGCAUUAAGCACUCCGCCUGGGGAGUACGGCCGCAAAGGCUG
rnacentral:rRNA from 1 species